rnacentral:tRNA from 2 species
GCGGGAGUCAUCUAGCCUGGCUAUGAUGCCGGACUCAUAAUCCGGUGUCCCGGGUUCAAAUCCCGGCUCCCGCA